GACGAACGCUGGCGGCGUGCCUAACACAUGCAAGUCGAGCGAGAAUUUUUCAACAGAUUCCUUCGGGAUGAAGUUGAAGAAGGAGAGCGGCGGACGGGUGAGUAACGCGUGAGUAACCUGCCCAUAAGAGGGGGAUAACACAUGGAAACGUGUGCUAAUACCGCAUGACAUAUGAUUGUCGCAUGGCAGACGUAUCAAAGAUUUAUCGCUUGAAGAUGGACUCGCGUCCGAUUAGUUAGUUGGUGAGGUAACGGCCCACCAAGACCGCGAUCGGUAGUCGGACUGAGAGGUUGAACGGCCACAUUGGGACUGAGACACGGCCCAG
rnacentral:rRNA from 1 species